rnacentral:precursor_RNA from 15 species
UACCGAUGCUCCCCGAAGGAGCGCCUCGACAUUGGUGAGUUCAUCUCCAAUGGUCAGUAGCCCGCAUUGGAUUAGUUCUCAUUGAUGGCGAAGCGAGUCCUACCCCCACACCAGCGAG